GGAACUUGGCUUGGAACAAAGGGGUUCCCGCCACAUGGAAGAAGCUAUAAAAGGGGGAUGUGAGAUCACCAAUUGGCCUCACUCCCCACACAAGAGAACACCUGGAAACACCUGAGGAACAAAGACUGAACUGGACGAAUUGCUGGUCCCAGGCAGGAAAGAAAGAAGUCUGUGUAUGUGGACUGUUUACACUAUCUAACAGGGACCAGCCCUCCACCACCUGGAAGACAAAUGACGGCAGACACAGGAACACUAGAAUGCCCAUCACCAGGAAGAAGAGAAGGGUCAGAAACUUGAUCUUCUUCUGAAAAAUAAACCAACACAAAUUGCGGUCCACUUGGACACAUGAGAAAAUCCUACACAAUGUAUGACAUUUACAAGUAGAAAUUGGGCUAAAGGAAAGGAAACCGGACAACCGUGGUACCCACACUGGAGAGAGCGAGCCAUCUCCCAAGCCUUUCACACAGCAGAGAAAGCAUCUUACUGACCCGGUGCAGGAAAACGAUAUUAAAAGGGAUUCCAAAUGAAGCAAAAAAGACACAGAAGAUCUGGCCAGCAGACGUUUUAGGACACAGGGUACCAUAGCCUAUUGAAAGACAAAAAGGUGACAGGGAGCAUUCCAGUGAGCCUUCUCCUUAGAGCUUGGGCUUCUAAUCAGGUCGCACAUAUAGACACAUUCACACAUGUCCCACUUCUUGCAUUCAUGCCAACACAGCUUUAGCACAUCAUGAGCAUUCCUCGUGCUCCAAAGUCAGACUCACGCUCUUUCCAAUCAAAGCAGAGAGACUGAUUAAAUGACAUGUUCUGCAUAUUCUUAGGGUUCAGAGAGUGCUGUGUUUGGCUCCAGCCUGGCCUUCAUUUGAACUACAUUAUAAUCUGAAAGCAAUCUACAAAAACACACUAUCCACUGCUACAAGUAUGCAAGUAGAUACAACAUGGAAAGAGAGAAACCAGAAGUUAGGGGAUCUGGAAGAUGUCAAGGCUGGAGUUUGGGCUGUUUGCCGCUCAAGGAUCAGAUAAGCCCCAUUCCUGAAUCUUAACUCCCAUCUAAUUUCUUGUCACGCCAUCCCUCAAGGAUCAGUGUACAGCACUGCACUAAGAAACCCACUGAUAAUUUUGGAAUAUGUGGAACUGGCAUCAAAAUCCUGUGCCUUCUCUUAAUUUAGUGACUCUAAAAUUUGCAGUCCCACAACUUCCCUCUUAUUUCAAUGGCUCUGGGAAUCCCAACUCUUUAACAGCUGUACAUAAUAUAGUAUCACCUUAUAACAACGGCCUUCAUCCCAAGGGAUUGUAAACAUGCCAUGUAUAGGUGUCACUUCCCCCCACCACUGAAGUGCAGCCACCUCUUAUAUCCAAUUGAAAACACAGAGAUCAAUUACAUAGGCAGAAAGUGGAAUUUGGCCAGGACACCGGGGCUAAUAACCCUCUGCAAAAGAAUCUUAAUGGUUAUAAAUGGCCAGGACUUUAACCUUAAGUUUCAUUAGAAAAAUGGGACAUUCCAACAUCACAGGCCUCCUCCCACCCCUGCCUGAGUGUAAGGCCGACAGACCCCAGCCUUCUGCAGGCGGGAUCGAACCUGGGGCUUCUAGAGCUUAGUGCAUGAGCCUCUACCGCGUGAGCUAAAAGCCUCUUAGCUAAGGUUGUAGAGCAGACUCAUUUUCUCUCUCUAAGUGGUCUCGGUGCCACUAGAUGGGACAGAACCCCACACCCAGGAGGUGUGUGGGUUACAAUAGCACCAUACUAAAGUACUGGCUCAAGUACAGGUCGGAGGGAAGCAUGCCACCUCGGGAAUGUACAGCAUCCCAUUCUGUAGCACAGUGGGUUUUCCUUGAGGGAAAGGGGCAGGGUCUGACCAUGCUCAGCUUGUGAGAUCUGAUGAACCGGAGCCUGGAAUGGAAUGGGCUGCUGGGAAUAAACACACAGCCGUUAAUAAAAACAAGCGAGCAACACCUGGGAUCCAACGUGUUCCUGGUGUUCCGCUGACGUCACCGAGAAUGCAGCACCAUUCUAAUGGGGAAGAGUGGACAAACGUAGCCACGCAUCAAACCCACCCAGUUAACUCGGAUCCAGUGAACUACGGCCUGAGCAGCUGAGUUACAGUGGUACAAUCCCUCUACUGUGGACACAGUUAUAUCAGCAUGAGGGUAUGUCUACACUAGAAACGCUACAGCGGUGCAGGUCCAUGCGGGAAGGAGAAUAAGCUCUGCAGGUGAAAGGCAUUGUUAUACCAGUAUAAAUGCAUCCACACAAGGGUUUGUACUGCUAUAACUACAUCCGUUUAAAAAAAAAAACCCACACCUUCCUGACAUAGUUGUACCGGUAUGAAAUCGGUGUGUAGACCAGGCCUUUAAAGAUAAAGAAUUUAUUUACACCAGGGUUGAAUUUGCUAUCAGGUGGUUUUAAAGGGGAGCAAUACCUGAAAAAUGAGACAAUGGCUGCAUAACUCUAAGAAUUUACUGUAGCAUGUCCCCUCCCCCAUAGCCAUUCAGCUGCUGCAAGGCGUGCGUCAUAUAGGGAUAGUCCCAGGUUUUGUUUGUGUCCUUAGUGUGUCAGUGUCCCUGAGAAGUGGCGCUGUUCCAGCACAAGUCAAUCUCUGACUGAUCAUACAAUGGUCCUAUUUACGGGGGAAAGAAAAUAAGACAGUGCCCUAGUUCAUUGGCCUUUAGGCCAUGGGAACUUUCACUAUUGUCUGCCUGUGUUACCAGAAGGUUGUUGCAUUCUCCGUUUGGAUGAGACAGAGCUAUUUGUCUUCAUCUCACUGCACUUUUGGCCUCUUUUGGCCUCUUUCAUCCAGAUCAAACACCUUCGUAAUAAGGAUGUAAACAUCGGUUAAAAAAGUUAACCAGUUAAACGAUUAAAAUUGUAUUGUUUAACUGGUUAACUGUUAACCAAGGUCACUCCAGCCAGCCUGGCAGGGCAGAGGUUGGGGCUGGGGACCCUCCGGCCAGCCAGCUCAGGGCAGCCAGGGCUGGGGUCCCUGUGGCCAGCUGGUGCCUGGGCUGCUCUGGCCUGGCUGAGGCUGGGGUCCUGCUGGCUGGCUGGCCUGGCGUGGACAGGGCUGGAGUCCCUCUAGCCGACCAGUACGGCCAGGGUUCCUCCUGCCAGCCCAGUGCAACCGGGGCUGGGGCCCCUCCGGCCGGGUUAACCGUUAAGGUCCAUUAACAGUAAGCCUAAUGCUUACCCGGUUAACCGUUUAACCUUUUACAUCCCUACUUCCUAGUUAAGCACUGACCAGGCCUCUCUCUCUAACUGUCUGUGAUAUCCUGGGUCACAAGAUGGUUCUACCAGGUUGGUGGAAACCUCUCGGCCACAUGCAAUUUUGGACACUAUUUGUUUUUUGUCUCCAAGUCCAGCAGCCUCAAUUUCUGUUAGCUUUAAGGACAACACUGUGCUUGAAUUGGCCAUGAUGGUAUUCACCUUGUCCCUCCCCCAUCUUUUCUCCUGGCAGCAGUGAAAAUUGUGGGUAUGCUGGUGCAGUAUGUACUAUAGUAAUGGCCUUCUACAGCCCAGCUGCGUUCAGUUGUUUCCUAUCAUUCUUUGUUGCCUUACAGCUGCCUUGGAAAAGAUUUACAGUUAGUUUGACCUAACAAUGAAAACCAGGGAAAGUCAAGUCCAUCUUCCACCUAUGACUGGCGGCUCAGCUAAGGUUUUAACAGAUGAUUCUAUGGCUAGAAAGAAACAGACAGAGAGGGAAGGGGAGGUUGAGAUGUAAAAGGUCGUUGUCACGUUAUAAACUAAAAUAAUACUGUGAACGAUGAAUUGUGCAGCUGUAAGGCCUCAAGGCCAAGUCAGUUGCUGCUUCUCAUCCUGGCCCAUGAAAAGCGGUAAUUCAUAGCCAUGGCUUGCAAGGCCAUGAUAAUCUAUCGUGAUCAUCUGCCUGUGUAGCACAGGCCAGAGAACGUCCCCAAAAUAAUCCCUAGAGCAGAGCUUUUCGAAAAACAUCCCGUUUUGAUUGUAAAAUUGUCACUGAUGGAGAAUCCACCGCCACCCUGGGUAAAUUGUUCCAAUGAUUAAUUACUCUCACUGUUAAAAACAUAUGUUUUAUUUCCAGUCUGAAUUCGUCUAAAGCACAGUCACUUAGAGCAAUAAUAACUAUAUUUGGCAGAGGGGGAAAAAAGCACCAAACCUACCUAUGGUGGAUACCACUGCGCCCACAAAGAAGAAGGAGUUACUCAAAUCCCAGUUGCUGACCUCAGUCUGUGAUUCGUUUCCGACGGGAUAUAUUCCUCUCUGCACAGCGUCAGUCAGGUUCUGCGAGCGAAACCCACGUUUGAUAUGAACACCUCCCUGUUCUCACAGUCCAUUGUGAUAAAACAGAGGAAUCAGCCCGCCACGACCCUUUUCCUGUGAGUAUCCAUAGAUCGUAUGCAUCAGUAUGCAAAGUUAUAGGCAAACUCUGCUGCCAGUACGAGUAGCACUCCUGCUUCCAAGGAGGCCACCGACUCACCAGCAACCAAUCAGCAUUUCAGAUAGUGCCAUGUACUUACCUGAUCAUUUAGGUGGGAACUGGAAUGGGCCCUAUGAGAGAUCACUUGGUUUUUUAAGAACUAAGUUUACUGCCACUGACCUAGGUGGGAGCUGGAAUGGGCCCUAUGAGAGAUCACUUGGGUUUUUUAGAACUAAGUUUACUGCCACUGACCUAGCAUUACAGUGUUUUAUCCUAAAUUAUUUGCAUCAGAAAUGCAGAAUCAUGUAAAAGGCUUGUGUAGGCUAAAGCAAUUCAACCUGCUGCAUUUUUACAUUACUGCCCUGUUAUUUUCCAUCCCUUGGUCUCUUUGGUUGGUUCUUCCUCCUUGUGUCCCAUAGCUGGGCCCUGGCAGUUUGGGAGAUAUGGUUCUCCAUGGUGCAAUUGUAAGGAACACUCCCCAGCACCUCAAUCAUUCCUCUGAAUUCUUUGACUUUAUUUUAGGAGACCAAAGCAAAAAAAAAAAAUUGAUGCCCUAUUAGCUGUAUGUUUUCCCUCCCUUCCAGAUUCUAACUGUUCAGUACUCAUUAGGGAUUGUAGCUAGUCUGCCAAAAGAAAUGGAGACAGCAGUUGUUAAAACCAUAGGGUGAUGACAAUUAUGGUUCAAGGCUCACCAGCGCUUUGGAAACCUUGUUGACUUUCACACUAGAAAAAUAAAGGGAGAGAAUUUAUCACA